AGAUUGAACGCUGGCGGCAUGCCUUACACAUGCAAGUCGAACGGCAGCACGGGAGCAAUCCUGGUGGCGAGUGGCGAACGGGUGAGUAAUACAUCGGAACGUGCCCAAUCGUGGGGGAUAACGCAGCGAAAGCUGUGCUAAUACCGCAUAAGAUCUACGGAUGAAAGCAGGGGAUCGCAAGACCUUGCGCGAAUGGAGCGGCCGAUGGCAGAUUAGGUAGUUGGUGAGGUAAAGGCUCACCAAGCCUUCGAUCUGUAGCUGGUCUGAGAGGACGACCAGCCACACUGGGACUGAGACACGGCCCAGACUCCUACGGGAGGCAGCAGGUGGGGAAUUUUGGACAAGUGGGCGAAAGCCGUGAUCCAGCCAUCGCCGCGUGCAGGAUGAAGGCCGUUACGGUUGUAAACGUGACGUUUUCGUACGGAACGUAAAGUACU
rnacentral:rRNA from 1 species